GAUGAACGCUGGCGGCGUGCCUAAUACAUGCAAGUCGAGCGAACGGACGAGAAGCUUGCUUCUCUGAUGUUAGCGGCGGACGGGUGAGUGACACGUGGAUAACCUACCUAUAAGACUGGGAUAACUUCGGGAAACCGGAGCUUAUACCGGAUAAUAUUUUGAACCGCAUGGUUCAAAAGUGAAAGACGGUCUUGCUGUCACUUAUAGAUGGAUCCGCGCUGCAUUAGCUAGUUGGUAAGGUAACGGCUUACCAAGGCAACGAUGCAUAGCCGACCUGAGAGGGUGAUCGGCCACACUGGAACUGAGACACGGUCCAGACUCCUACGGGAGGCAGCAGUAGGGAAUCUUCCGCAAUGGGCGAAAGCCUGACGGAGCAACGCCGCGUGAGUGAUGAAGGUCUUCGGAUCGUAAAACUCUGUUAUUAGGGAAGAACAUAUGUGUAAGUAACUGUGCACAUCUUGACGGUACCUAAUCAGAAAGCCACGGCUAACUACGUG
rnacentral:rRNA from 1 species